AUGCGGGUGAUUGCAUAUGGCGUUCCGGCUGACUAUACCGAUGAGUAUCUUCGCAUUGGUGAAGAUAGCACUAUUGAGUAUGUGCAUAGAUUUGCGAAAGUAAUCAUCCGUGUCUUCGGUGCUGAGUAUCUUCGGGCACCCAAUGAAGAUGACACAAAGAAACUGUUGGCAUCUAAUGAGAGGAGAGGUUGGCCUGGCAUGCUAGGUAGCAUGAUUGUAUGCAUUGGAGCUUGCUAG
rnacentral:rRNA from 1 species